rnacentral:rRNA from 1 species
UACGUAGGGUGCAAGCGUUGUCCGGAAUUAUUGGGCGUAAAGAGCUUGUAGGCGGUUUGUCGCGUCUGCUGUGAAAUUUCGGGGCUCAACCCCGAACUUGCAGUGGGUACGGGCAGACUAGAGUGUGGUAGGGGAGACUGGAAUUCCUGGUGUAGCGGUGAAAUGCGCAGAUAUCGGGAGGAACACCUAUGGCGAAGGCAGCUCGCUGGGACGUUACUGACGCUGAGACGCGAAAGCGUGGGGAGCAAACGGG